rnacentral:rRNA from 1 species
AAUAGAUACCCUGGUAGUCCAUGCCGUAAACGUUGGGCACUAGGUGUGGGGCUCAUUCCACGAGUUCCGUGCCGCAGCAAACGCAUUAAGUGCCCCGCCUGGGGAGUACGGCCGCAAGGCUAAAACUCAAAGGAAUUGACGGGGGCCCGCACAAGCGGCGGAGCAUGCGGAUUAAUUCGAUGCAACGCGAAGAACCUUACCAAGGCUUGACAUGCACGGGAAGCCACCAGAGAUGGUGGUCUCUUUGGACACUCGUGCACAGGUGGUGCAUGGUUGUCGUCAGCUCGUGUCGUGAGAUGUUGGGUUAAGUCCCGCAACAAGCGCAACCCUCGUCCCAUGUUGCCAGCGGGUUAUGCCGGGGACUCAUGGGAGACUGCCGGGGUCAACUCGGAGGAAGGUGGGGAUGACGUCAAAUCAUCAUGCCCCUUAUGUCUUGGGCUUCACGCAUGCUACAAUGGCCGGUACAAAGGGCUGCGAUACCGUAAGGUGGAGCGAAUCCCAAAAAGCCGGUCUCAGUUCGGAUUGGGGUC